AUUGAACGCUGGCGGCAUGCCUAACACAUGCAAGUCGAACGGGGCAGCAAUGCCUAGUGGCGGACGGGUGAGGAAUACGUAGGAAUCUGCCCUUAAGUGGGGGAUAACCAGGGGAAACCCUGACUAAUACCGCAUGAUCUCUUCGGAGCAAAGAGGGGGACCGCAAGGCCUCUCGCUUCUGGAUGAGCCUACGUCUGAUUAGCUAGUUGGUAGGGUAAAGGCCUACCAAGGCGACGAUCAGUAACUGGUCUGAGAGGAUGAUCAGUCACACCGGAAAUGUGACACGGUCCGGACUACUACGGGAAGCAGCAGUGAGGAAUAUUGGACAAUGGGCGCAAGCCUGAUCCAGCAAUGCCGCGUGUGUGAAGAAGGCCUUCGGGUUGUAAAGCACUUUAGCCUGGAAAGAAAAAACUUUGGUUAACACCCAAAGUCUUGACGGUACCAGGAGAAUAAGCACCGGCUAACUCUGUGCCAGCCGCCGCCGUAACAC
rnacentral:rRNA from 1 species